AUUGAACGCUGGCGGAAUGCUUUACACAUGCAAGUCGAGCGGCAGCACGGGGGCAACCCUGGUGGCGAGCGGCGAACGGGUGAGUAAUACAUCGGAACAUGCCCAGUCGUGGGGGAUAACACUUCGAAAGAAGUGCUAAUACCGCAUACGUCCUGAGGGAGAAAGCGGGGGAUCUUCGGACCUCGCGCGAUUGGAGUGGCCGAUGUCAGAUUAGCUAGUUGGUGGGGUAAAGGCCUACCAAGGCAACGAUCUGUAGCUGGUCUGAGAGGAUGAUCAGCCACACUGGGACUGAGACACGGCCCAGACUCCUACGGGAGGCAGCAGUGGGGAAUUUUGGACAAUGGGGCAACCCUGAUCCAGCCAUUCCGCGUGAGUGAAGAAGGCCUUCGGGUUGUAAAGCUCUUUCGGCAGGAACGAAACGGCGAGCUCUAACAUAGCUUGCUAAUGACGGUACCUGAAGAAGAAGCACCGGCUAACUACGUGCCAGCAGCCGCCGCCGUAA
rnacentral:rRNA from 1 species